rnacentral:rRNA from 1 species
GUGCCAGCAGCCGCGGUAACACCGGCGGCUCGAGUGGUAACCGUUAUUAUUGGGUCUAAAGGGUCUGUAGCCGGCCGGAUAAGUCUCUUGAGAAAUCUGGCAGCUUAACUGUCAGGCUUUCAGGAGAUACUGUCUGGCUCGAGGCCGGGAGAGGUGAGAGGUACUUCAGGGGUAGGGGUGAAAUCUUGUAAUCCUUGAAGGACCACCAGUGGCGAAGGCGUCUCACCAGAACGGACCUGACGGCAAGGGACGAAAGCUAGGGGCACGAACCGGAUUAGAUACCCGGGUAGUCCUAGCCGUAAACGAUACUCGCUAGGUGUCGGCCACGGUGCGACCGUUGUCGGUGCCGUAGGGAAGCCGUGAAGCGAGCCACCUGGGAAGUACGGCCGCAAGGCUGAAACUUAAAGGAAUUGGCGGGGGAGCACCACAACGGGUGGAGCUUGCGGUUUAAUUGGAUUCAACGCCGGAAAUCUUACCGGGACCGACAGCAAUAUGAAGGCCAGGCUGAAGACUUUGCCGGAUUAGCUGAGAGGUGGUGCAUGGCCGUCGUCAGUUCGUACUGUGAAGCAUCCUGUUAAGUCAGGCAACGAGCGAGACCCACGCCCACAGUUGCCAGCGUACUCUCUGGAGUGACGGGUACACUUGUGGGGACCGCC